AUCGCACACGCACUCACACAGGCGUACGCGUCACUGCGAACGAAAAAACAAAACUCUCCCUCUCUUUCUCUCUCUAAAGCUUACAGUUUUCUUCUAUUCCUUUUCCUGCUUGCUAAAUGGCUGGUUGUCGCNNNNNNNNNNNNNUGAAGAUUACCGCAAAACCGCAUUCCACGGCGACAUUUCCGGCCAACUAUAUUACUUCCAAAGCUCAGAACCCGCAGCCUCAUCCAGAUCUCAAAACCGCUCUCAAGCCUCGACGUAGGACCCGGAAUCCUAGUCUUGUCCGAUUGAAGAGAACCAGAACUCCCGUUGGGAGGCGGAGCCGACCAGAGACGCCUUUUCUCAAAUGGAAGAUCGAAGAUAGGGAGAGAAAUGCUCGACUUGGAGAUGAUGACGACGUGCUAGAGGAGAAGCUUGAGAAUAGUGCCCGUAAAGGUCGCCGGAAAAUCUCGAGGGCGGUGUCUGCAAGGAAGCUGGCAGCUGGAUUGUGGCGCUU
rnacentral:misc_RNA from 1 species